CAAACGCGAAAUGUGUUAUGACAUGCAAUCUUUGAGAAUCAUGAAAUCUUUGAACGCACCUUGUACCCGAGGCACCGUCUUGGGUGUGUUUGUUUGAGCAUCGCAAAGCACUCACCAGGUGGUGGCGAUGAGCAGCUUAGUAAUUUUUACUAAUUGCUUUAAAGGGAUGAGCACGCGGUCACGUGAUCGUCUUGGGAUAAUUCCAUCUGGACACGCACGUAGCCGCCCUCACACACAUUUUACGACGUUAAACCGAUCUCAAAUCAAACAGGAUGACCCGCUGAACUUAA
rnacentral:misc_RNA from 1 species